UACGGAGGGGGCGAGCGUUUAUUCGGAAUUAUUGGGCGUAAAGGGCGCGUAGGCGGUCCGACAAGGUCAAAAGGUGAAAUCCCUACGGCCUCAACUGAGGAACUGCCUUUGAAACUGUCGGACUUGAGUCCGGGGAGAGGGUAGUGGAAUUCCCAAUGUAGCGGUGAAAUGCGUAGAUAUUGGGAGGAACACCAGUGGCGAAGGCGGCUACCUGGACCGGAACUGACGCUGAUGCGCGAAAAGCGUGGGAUAGCAAACGAGGAAUUAGAUACCCUUCG
rnacentral:rRNA from 1 species